UACGAGGGGUGCAAACGUUGCUCGGAAUCAUUGGGCGUAAAGCGCACGUAGGCGGUCUUGUCAGUUGGAUGUGAAAGCCCUGGGCUUAACCCAGGAAGUGCAUCCAAAACUUCAAGACUUGAGUUCCGGAGGGGGUUGGAGAAUUCCCGGUGGAGAGGUGAAAUUCGUAGAUAUCGGGAGGAAUACCAGUGGCGAAGGCGCCGACCUGGCCGGACACUGACGCUGAGGUGCGAAAGCGUGGGGAGCAAACAGG
rnacentral:rRNA from 1 species